UAGGGAAUCUUCCACAAUGGACGAAAGUCUGAUGGAGCAACGCCGCGUGAGCGAUGAAGGCCUUCGGGUCGUAAAGCUCUGUUGUUAGGGAAGAACAAGUGCGAGAGUAACUGCUCGCACCUUGACGGUACCUAACCAGAAAGCCACGGCUAACUACGUGCCAGCAGCCGCGGUAAUACGUAGGUGGCAAGCGUUGUCCGGAAUUAUUGGGCGUAAAGCGCGCGCAGGUGGUCCUUUAAGUCUGAUGUGAAAGCCCACGGCUCAACCGUGGAGGGUCAUUGGAAACUGGGGGACUUGAGUGCAGAAGAGGAAAGUGGAAUUCCAAGUGUAGCGGUGAAAUGCGUAGAGAUUUGGAGGAACACCAGUGGCGAAGGCGACUUUCUGGUCUGUAACUGACACUGAGGCGCGAAAGCGUGGGGAGCAA
rnacentral:rRNA from 1 species